rnacentral:piRNA from 2 species
UGAGAGAGGAAUGGGUGACAACUCCACGA